AUGUUUUUAUGUUUGAAAACUGGCAAGCACUGUAAUCCUGCUAGAGCCAUGCGUGGCCGUGGGGUGGUCCCUCCUUCCCUGUUAUCCUUUCUGCCCCCUCUCAAGGCGUCUCCCCUUCAGAGGUGCUUUGCUGGUGGCUCUGUGGAGCUUUUUGGGCAGGACAUCUCUCAUGAGCUUUCCUUCUUUCUCAGCUGUACUCUCACAAUUCUCUACACUGUUCCAGGACCAGAAGAAAAUGAUCACAUCCCAGGGAUCGUUGUCAUUCAGGGAUGUGACUGUGGGCUUCACCCAGGAGGAGUGGCAGCACCUGGACCCUGCUCAGAGGACCUUGUACAGGGACGUGAUGCUGGAGAACUACAGCCACCUCAUCUCGGUGGGUAGGUAGCAGUUGUUUCCUAUGCACAGCCCCAGUAUGCGUGUCCUUUUUUAUUUACAGAAACUUGUGGAAAUUUUGUAGAAUAUAGUAAUAUUUAAAUUUGGGAUUUAGAAGUCAAGGACAGUUUAUCCCUUUUGGGUACCAGAAAGGAUGUGUUUUCCUCUGCCCCAUAACAGGAUUAAAUGAGCUUUUUUUAUUGUACACUCUUUGAGGUAUACUGUCCUCCUCCUUCAGAGGCCCUGAAACUCACCGUUUGUCCCAAGUCAUACAGUUCUCAUCCACAGGAUAUUGCACUCCUAAACCAGAAGUCAUCCUCAAAUUGGAGCAAGGAGAGGAGCCAUGGAUAUUAGAGGAGGAGUUCCCAAGCCAGAGUGACCCAGGUGAGUUAGUGAGUAUGAGCAGGAUGGAGGAAAUCAGAUCACAAAGGGUUAGUUCAGCGAUUGAGACCAUAGAAGUGGCCUUCAGGAAUCACUUUUUAGAGGCUCCAAACCUUUGGAAGUAGUGUGUUGACAUGACUCAAAUAUCCAGUGUCACUGAAUCACCCAGUAUCUCCCAGUGUCAUUCUCAUACACAAGUGGUAUCCUUUUUUUUUAGGUAUAAAUUAUAUAGAGUUAAGCAUGCAGAUCUUAAGUGUAUAACUAAAUGAAAUUUUCUAUGUGUAUACACCCAUGUACCGAUCAUCAGGAUGAACAUAUAGAGCAUUUUUCAGCAGCCCAGAAGGCUUCCUGGUGUCCUCUUCCCAGUAAAUGAUAUCCCACACUUCUAUUACCAUAGAUCAGGUUUGCCUGUUUUUAACUUCAGAUAAAUGUGGUGAUAUGGUAUGUACUAUAUAUAUAUACACACACACACACUAUAUGUAUGUAAGGGUAUACUAUAUAGAUGAUAUAUAGAGAUUGUAUCUGGCUUCUUUGGUUCAGCAUUAUGCAUGUGAGAUACAUCUAUGUUGUGUAUAUCAGUAGUUUAUUGCUUUAUAUUGCUGUGUAGCAUUCCAUUGUGACUAUCCCA
rnacentral:lncRNA from 1 species